GAUCUGGCUUCCCAACCCACAUUCAGGAUUGAGCCUCUGGGAGAUGCUGAGGGUGUGUCUGCAGGGAGGACUUUUCCUGCUCCUUUGGUGGAUGUUGCACGCAAGCCCAGCUCCCAUCGCAGGGGUCCUCCAGCGGGAAAGAACAAAGCUAAAGGACACCAG